AUUGAACGCUGGCGGCAUGCUUUACACAUGCAAGUCGAACGGUAACAGGCCGCAGGGUGCUGACGAGUGGCGAACGGGUGAGUAAUGCAUCGGAACGUGCCCAGUCGUGGGGGAUAACGCAGCGAAAGCUGUGCUAAUACCGCAUACGAUCUAUGGAUGAAAGCGGGGGACCGUAAGGCCUCGCGCGAUUGGAGCGGCCGAUGUCAGAUUAGCUAGUUGGUGGGGUAAAGGUCCACCAAGGCGACGAUCUGUAGCUGGUCUGAGAGGACGACCAGCCACACUGGGACUGAGACACGGCCCAGACUCCUACGGGAGGCAGCAGUGGGGAAUUUUGGACAAUGGGCGCAAGCCUGAUCCAGCAAUGCCGCGUGCAGGAAGAAGGCCUUCGGGUUGUAAACUGCUUUUGUACGGAACGAAACGGUCUGGGUUAAUACCUCGGGCUAAUGACGGUACCGUAAGAAUAAGCACCGGCUAACUACGUGCCAGCCGCCGCGGUAA
rnacentral:rRNA from 1 species